rnacentral:lncRNA from 1 species
CUAUUUUAUGAUGUAAGUAUUAAUUGUACUUUUAUAAUCGAUUUUAUAUUCUUUAAUAAUUUUUUCUCUUCGAUAUUCAAAGGGACAAUCAUUCGGCAUGUAAUUUUUUUGUGUUGUUCGAUCCCCCAACUCUAGAACACUUGAAAAUUGCGAUUUUGAGCUGCCUAAGAAGAUGAGGGCAGUCGAUGCAUUAUUGAAGAAAAAUAGGAAUCAAAGAAAUUGGAGGAAAAUAUUUGUAAUUGUAUUGAAGUUGAUUGUGUUUG